rnacentral:rRNA from 1 species
CACGUAGGGGGCAAGCGUUGUCCGGAUUUAUUGGGCGUAAAGAGCUCGUAGGUGGUUCGGUAAGUCGGGUGUUAAACCCCCAGGCUCAACCUGGGGACGCCACUCGAUACUGCUGUGACUAGAGUCCGGUAGGGGAGCGUGGAAUUCCUGGUGUAGCGGUGAAAUGCGCAGAUAUCAGGAGGAACACCAAUGGCGAAGGCAGCUCGCUGGGACGUGACUGACGCUGAGACGCGAAAGCGUGGGGAGCAAACAGG